rnacentral:rRNA from 1 species
UACGGAGGGUGCAAGCGUUAUCCGGAUUCACUGGGUUUAAAGGGUGCGUAGGCGGGUAAGUAAGUCAGUGGUGAAAUCUCCGGGCUUAACUCGGAAACUGCCGUUGAUACUAUUUAUCUUGAAUAUCAUGGAGGUAAGCGGAAUAUGUCAUGUAGCGGUGAAAUGCGUAGAGAUCAGGAAGAACAUCGGUGGCGAAGGCGCUCUGCUGGACCAUAACUGACACUCAGGGACGAAAGCUAGGGGAGCGAAUGGG